AUGUCGUGUGCCCAGCAGUCGGGCCGAUGAAGAGCAACAAAUGAAGCGCCAGUCUCUCUCGUCGUGUAGAUCUGAGGAUGACCAAAGCCUGUCGCCCCAAGCAUUGCUGAACCCAUCAAAAUGGUUGCUCAGAGGCCUGCUGGUGCUGGAAGUGGACGGUAUCCCAGCAUGACUGAAGGAGCAGCUGCUGAUGGGAGGCAGGAAGUCCAGGCUCAUGAACGCUGAGGCAUCUGCCAGUACGGUACCAGAGGAGGCAGUAGUGACGUUGGGGGGCAGUUGCAGAAGAAGAUGAGGAGCUCCCCAGCAGGAAGCCACAAACCCGGCAGAAACCUGCAGGAGAAUCGCAGCAUGUGUGGGUGCCCAGGAGGAAAUGCAGCCCCAUCGUCUGAGCAGCGCCUGGCCAUGGAGUGCUGUGGCCCAAGAACAGAGCUAUUCUGCCCUUGCCGAGAUGGCCCCACUGACCCCAUUGACUUCUUUGACCCAGUGACCCCAGUGACCUCACAUGAACUCCAUAACUCCACUGACCCCAAUGAUCCCACAUGGCCCCAUUGACCCCAAUGACCCCGCAUGACCCCACUGACCCCACCGAUCCCAAAGAUCCUAAUGAUACCCAUGACCCCAUAUGACCCCAACAGCCCAUUAACCCCACUGACCCCAUUGACCCCAUUAACCUCAUAUGACCCUAUUGACCCCACUGACCCCAUUAAUCCCAAUGACCCCACUGACUCCAAUAACCCCCACUGACCCCAUUAAAUCUAUUG
ensembl:lncRNA